rnacentral:rRNA from 1 species
GAUGAACGCUAGCGGGAGGCCUAAUACAUGCAAGUCGAGCGGUAGAGUGACUUCGGUUGCUUGAGAGCGGCGCACGGGUGAGUAACGCGUACAUGACCUACCUUUAAGACUGGGAUAGCCCUGGGAAACUGGGAUUAAUACCGGAUGUGAUAAUACGUAUAGAGAUGUAUUAUUAAAGUUGAGGCGCUUAGAGAUGGAUGUGCGUCUGAUUAGCUAGUUGGUAGGGUAACGGCCUACCAAGGCGACGAUCAGUAGGGGGCGUGAGAGCGUGGUCCCCCACACGGGUACUGAGACACGGACCCGACUCCUACGGGAGGCAGCAGUAAGGAAUAUUGGUCAAUGCCCGCAAGGGUGAACCAGCCAUUCCGCGUGGAGGAUGAAGGCCCUAUGGGUUGUAAACUUCUUUUAGAUGGGAAGAAAAUGCUAGAUGUAUCUGGUACUGACGGUACCAUCAGAAUAAGCACCGGCUAACUCCGUGCCAGCAGCCGCGGUAAA